rnacentral:rRNA from 1 species
GACGAACGCUGGCGGCGUGCCUAAUACAUGCAAGUAGAACGCACAGUUUAUACCGUAGCUUGCUACACCAUAGACUGUGAGUUGCGAACGGGUGAGUAACGCGUAGGUAACCUGCCUGGUAGCGGGGGAUAACUAUUGGAAACGAUAGCUAAUACCGCAUAAUAUUAAUUAUUGCAUGAUAAUUAAUUGAAAGGUGCAAUUGCACCACUACCAGAUGGACCUGCGUUGUAUUAGCUAGUAGGUGAGGUAACGGCUCACCUAGGCGACGAUACAUAGCCGACCUGAGAGGGUGAUCGGCCACACUGGGACUGAGACACGGCCCAGACUCCUACGGGAGGCAGCAGUAGGGAAUCUUCGGCAAUGGACGAAAGUCUGACCGAGCAACGCCGCGUGAGUGAAGAAGGGUUUCGGAUCGUAAAGCUCUGUUGUAAGAGAAGAACGGGUGUGAGAGUGGAAAGUUCACACUGUGACGGUAGCUUACCAGAAAGGGACGGCUAACUACGUG